rnacentral:SRP_RNA from 1 species
GCUGGGCGCGGUGGUGCGUGCCUGUAGUCCCAGCUACUCAGGAGGCUAAGGCUGGAGGACCGCUUGAGUCCAGGAGUUCUGGGCUGCAGUGCACUAUGCCAAUUGGGUGUCCGCACUAAGUUCGGCAUCAAUAUAUGGUCCCUCCUGGGAGCGGGGGCCCACCAGGUUGCCUAAGGAGGGGUAAACCAGCCCAGGUUGGAAACAGAGCAGGUCAAAACUCUCGUGCUGAUCAGCAGUGGGAUCACACCUGUGAAUAGCCACUGCACUCCAGCCUGGGUGACAUAGCGCGACCCUGUUUUU